UAUUCGUUCAGCAUUAAUUAUUUGUAUAUUUGCAGAUAGCAAUAUCAUCACAAACAUUUACAACCAAACACAUAAAACUAUUUUUCUGAAAAAAGUCUACGUUAGUGACUUUCAAAUUCAUAAAUUCUUUACUGUCUUAGCAAAUUAAAGAUGUGCGCAUUAUCUCAUGUGUCUGUUUCGGUAGUGAUGUGUUAACCUUCCCAUGUUUAUUACAUAUGGUAGGAGAACAAUUGAAGUGUAUUGCAAAAAUGUUUUCAAUGCUAGCGAUGGUGCUGGGAGAACAGGAAUUUAUAUCGCGGUAGAUCAUCUACUGCAAAAUAUCCGUGACCAUGACGACGCAGAUAUCUACCAACUUAUAUUGGACAUGCGUGAACACCGAUGCAACAUGGUUCAGACUGAGGCUCAAUUUGUUUUCAUAUAUGACUGCUUGAAAGCGUUCGUCAAAGUCGGUCAUGUUGACGACGGACAUUUGUAUCAAAACACCAAACUUGGUACUGAACCAUUGGAGCACACGUACGAAGCCUUGAAUUUCAGAAGAAAUUUAUUUAAAUAACGAGUGUAAGCUAUUCGUUGACUUCAUAGAAAUGUUAUUUAACAAAAUAACAAGCAACACAUUGACUUAAUACACUUUUUUAGAUAUAUCACAACUCAAAUUGUUCUAACAUAAAAAAAAAAUUGGUGUUAUUUCUACGAGUCUAGACCCUAGCAGGUAGAGCACAUUAAAAUGUUAUACCAUUGGUGUAAAGUUGUAUUGUAUGCAUGUGUGCAUAUGUAUACAAUUGCUAAACCAAGUUAACACUAAAAUGUUCAAGAGGCGAAAAAAAAAUCAAAUGGAUCAUUUUUUACAAGAAUGAGCAGCAAAACUUAGUAAGUCAAACUAAGGUAAACACUAUCUUCUUUUUUUAGAAUAAUAUUGGAUUCUAAAAGUACAUAACAGCACUUCCAAGUAGGUAUCAACAAACUUUAUAUUCAAUACCAAACUGCUCACCGCAAACCAAAGAUUGUCUUAUAGUCUUCAUAAUUAAUCAUAUUGCCCUUUUUUAUAAUUAAUGGAUAUAUAUAUAGAAAGAUAGAUACAUGUAGAUAGAUUUAUUUCAACAUAAAAUGCAUAGAUUUACAUGGCAGCAGGUUAUAUACACACAAUAAAUAAUGCAAAUAACCUGCAUGUAUAAACAAAGCCAUGCUAACAUUUUACGUUAAGGAUUGCACAAUACAGGGUUUGCAAUGCAACCCUUAUUUCCAUUAUGAUCCUUUUGAUAUAAUAUUGUAUGACAUAGGAGACAUCGUUUUAUAUCACAGUAAAUAAUAAUAUCACAGUAUAUGAUAAUAUUACAGUAUAUAAUAAUAAAACACGUAUGACAUAUUAAAAUUACACUUACUUGUGUAAGAAUGUGUAUAGAAUAUAUUCUGAUAUGUUCUUGACUAGGCAUUAUUUAGAAGUUAUCACAUUUCAAGUGUUUAAAAGUUUUACAUAAUUAGUUGCCUCGCUAUAAAAUAAUCUUACAGAAACUAGAUAAGAUACGAUAAAUUUAUCUAUAUUAACAAUCGUAUUAAAUCAACAGUAAGAAAUCGUAAAGAGAUGCAUAUUAAAAUUAUACUUGUCUAAAAAAAUGCUCCCUAACAAUGUGUUUCAAAGAAGAAAUACUUUUGACUCUCUGAUAUGUUGAGGAAGAGAGUUCCAGAGAGUACAACCAUUGAAAGCAAAUGACUUUUUGCCAUACCCAUUGACCCUUGGAAUGGCAUACAUGUUGCAAUCAUGCAUGUAAAGAUCGGUAUUAAGUGAGUCUGACUGUGCUCUAACUCCGAACCUAGUAUUCUUAUUGUGGAUAUUACUAACUGGAGUAAAAUUAUCUCCCAAAUAUGGCGUAGCCAACUUUGAGCUAUUUAAAAAAAAUGACAAAGUGUGAUCUGGUUUACUCGACUAUCAAUAGGCAACAAGUUAAAUCUAGUAAAAUGUUCUUUACCAAUUUGAGACCUAGGAUUCAAAUUAAAUAUGAACCUGAUAAGUUUAUUUUGGGUGACCUGUAACUUGUUUUUUAACAUUUGGGUAAAACCAGAGUACCAAACAGAACAACCGAAGUCAAAGUGGCACUGAAUUAAAGACAUGACUAGAAGCCUUCUAGUAUCUGUGGAUAAAAACUCCUUCUUUCGAUAUAAAAACUUUAACCUUGCAUUGGCCUUCUUGAUGACUGACUCUGCCAUAGAAGAUAAAC